GAUGAAGAACGUAGCGAAAUGCGAUAACUAGUGUGAAUUGCAGAAUUCAGUGAACCAUCGAGUCUUUGAACGCACAUUGCGCCCGCUGGUAUUCCGGCGGGCAUGCCUGUUCGAGCGUCAUUUCAACCCUCAAGCCCCCGGGUUUGGUGUUGGGGAUCGGCUCUGCCCUUCUGGGCGGUGCCGCCCCCGAAAUACAUUGGCGGUCUCGCUGCAGCCUCCAUUGCGUAGUAGCUAACACCUCGCAACUGGAACGCGGCGCGGCCAUGCCGUAAAACCCCAACUUCUGAAUGUUGACCUCGGAUCAGGUAGGAAUACCCGCUGAACUUAAGCAUAUCAAUAAGCGGAGGA
rnacentral:misc_RNA from 1 species